rnacentral:rRNA from 1 species
UCAGGCGGGACUACCCGCUGAGUUUAAGCAUAUCAAUAAGCGGAGGAAAAGAAACUAACAAGGAUUCCCCUAGUAACGGCGAGUGAAGCGGGAAGAGCUCAAAUUUGUAAUCUGGCACUUUCAGUGUCCGAGUUGUAAUCUCGAGAAGUGUUUUCCGCGCCGGACCGCAUACAAGUCUGUUGGAAUACAGCGUCAUAGUGGUGAGAACCCCGUAACUGAUGCGGAUGCCCGGUGCUUUGUGAUACACUUUCGAAGAGUCGAGUUGUUUGGGAAUGCAGCUCAAAUUGGGUGGUAAAUUCCAUCUAAAGCUAAAUAUUGGCGAGAGACCGAUAGCGAACAAGUACCGUGAGGGAAAGAUGAAAAGAACUUUGGAAAGAG